UGCUAACUCAGUUAUAUGUUGUUUAGAGUCAAAUAGAGCUAGAUUUUCUAGAGCCUUUAUGAACUUUUCUAAGUACUCAUAUCAUGCACACUGCUGCUGUAAUUCAAACUCAAAUAUCUGCAUUUUCCCUAGCCUUAUUGCUGAUUAGUUUUGGGACUUAUAUCUAUCUUCAAGUACUAAGUCAACUUUCUGGUACAUAUAAUGAUGAGUUUGAUGGAGAAAAUUAGAAUGCUUCUGCCUUCCUUCCACAGGUUUCAUUUUCCUUUAAUGCUUGCUCCUCUAUCCUAAUUUAAUCUAUGGGUGCCUAUAUUGGUUGCGUUAGAAAAGAGGAUUUUCUCUUUUAUCAUUGAUCUUCAAGUUAGUUCUUAAUAUAACUAUAUUAUAAUUCUAAUUUUAACUACAGUGGUAUUAAGUUUUAAAGUGUAUCAAUGCAUGUUGGUUGGUUGCAGAAGACCUUAAAGUCAUCCCAACCCCAAAAUCCAUUUGUUCUGCAUUCUUAUUCUCAUUAUCUUAUUCAAUUCUUUGUAAUAUAGCGAGUCGGUUAAACGAGUGGAUUUUUUUUUCUUCAUCAUUUCAAUUCACUCUUGGAACUCGAGGGAGAAACAACUAAGUGUACCUUUUUUUAUUUAUUUUCCUAAACUUUUCCUCUUUCUCUUCAAUCCUCUUUUUUUCUUGGCAUUUUUGGUGAACAGAUGGUGAGCCAAUUUAGUUGAAGUUUGCAAAUAUUAAUGAAUAAGUUUCAAUUCUAAUAAGAAGUGUUGUAGUGACCUUCUCCAACAACUUGAAAGCGUGUAAUUAUUUACAUUUAGUUUAUGAAAACAUUUGUGAGAGGUCUUUGUGGAUUUUGAUGAUGAGUUAUUUCUAUGACCAAGUCAUUUCUAUCUAAUGUUUGAGCUUUUAUUUUAUAAUUGUUCUUUAACAUUUCAUAUCAGAAUUCGAAUGAUGAUAAUCAUGUUUAAUUUAUUGUUCAGGUUGUCAUUGGAAAGAUGAAUGCUUAGUCCAUAGAGCAAUGUAAGAAGUUUGGGAAUUGGUCGUCGAAUGCCAUACUUUCUGGCUUUUCGAGGAAGAGAUGUUACAACAUUACAUCCAAAUAUGCAAGAACAAUAGACUCAUUAUGUUAAGUGAAAUUAGCCAAUGAAGUUUAUCAAGAAUGUUAGUUGCCACUUAAAUGGACUGAGAAGAUUAAGAACUAUCAUAGAUACUAAUGCGAUAAACAAUUCUUUGAUGAAAUAUUCGAUGUCACCAUGAUCUUUAGAGUUCGGAGGAUUGAGUUUUCAUUACUCUAGCCUCCUAAUCAGGUUUCAUUGUUAUCAUUAUUGAUAUAUUGUCAGGAAACUUGGCAAUAGGAAAACUCAAACACUUUAUUAGAUGUGUUCAUAACUUCUACAAAUUUAUAGUGGAACUCUUUGGAUCAUGAAAAGUUAACUCAUAU
rnacentral:lncRNA from 1 species